rnacentral:rRNA from 1 species
UCAGAACGAACGUUAGCGGCGCGCCUAACACAUGCAAGUCGCACGAGAAAGGGCUUCGGCCCCGGUAAAGUGGCGCACGGGUGAGUAACACGUGGGUAACCUGCCCUCGAGCGGGGGAUAACAUUCCGAAAGGAGUGCUAAUACCGCAUAAGACCACGAUCUCGAAAGAGGACGAGGUAAAAGCUGGCCUCUAUACAUAAGCUAGCACUUGAGGAUGGGCCCGCGGCGCAUCAGGUAGUUGGUGAGGUAACGGCUCACCAAGCCUAAGACGCGUAGCUGGUCUGAGAGGAUGAUCAGCCACACUGGAACUGAGACACGGUCCAGACUCCUACGGGAGGCAGCAGUGGGGAAUCUUGCGCAAUGGGCGAAAGCCUGACGCAGCGACGCCGCGUGAGUGAUGAAGGCCUUCGGGUUGUAAAGCUCUGUGGGGCGAGACGAAUAAGUGCAACCUAAUACGUUGCAUGAUGACGGUAUCGCCUUAGCAAGCACCGGCUAACUCUGUGCCAGCAGCCGCGGUAAGACAGAGGGUGCAAACGUUGUUCGGAAUUACUGGGCGUAAAGCGAGUGUAGGCGGUCUUCUAAGUCGGAUGUGAAAGCCCCGGGCUCAACCCGGGAAGUGCACUCGAAACUGGAAGGCUAGAGUAUCGGAGAGGUUGGUGGAAUUCUCGGUGUAGAGGUGAAAUUCGUAGAUAUCGAGAGGAACACCGGUGGCGAAGGCGGCCAACUGGACGAAUACUGAC